rnacentral:rRNA from 1 species
GCAAUCAUACCAGCACUAAUGCACCGGAUCCCAUCAGAACUCUGAAAUUAAGCGUGCUUGGGCGAGAAUAGUACUAGGAUGGGUGACCCCCUGGGAAGUCCUCGUGUUGCACCCC